rnacentral:ncRNA from 2 species
UUAGUUUCCUAGGGGUGCCCUUAGUAAAGGGCUGAGAUUGCACUGGUACUGUGCGGGAUUCUUUGAACCUGAUCCGGGUUAUUCCGGCGAAGGGAAAGGAUUUCGAGUUACUU